rnacentral:rRNA from 1 species
AUACGUAGGGGGCGAGCGUUGUCCGGAAUGAUUGGGCGUAAAGGGCGCGUAGGCGGCGCGGUAAGUCUGGAGUGAAAGGUGGGGGCUCAACCCCCAAACUGCAUUGGAAACUGGUUUGCUAGAGUGUCGGAGAGGUAAGUGGAAUUCCUAGUGUAGCGGUGAAAUGCGUAGAUAUUAGGAGGAACACCAGUGGCGAAGGCGGCUUACUGGACGAUUACUGACGUUGAGGCUCGAAAGCGUGGGGAGCAAACAGGAUUAGAUACCCUGGUAGUCCACGCGGUAAACGAUGAAUACUAGGUGUCGGGUGGCAACAGCCAUUCGGUGCCGCAGCAAACGCAAUAAGUAUUCCACCUGGGGAGUACGGUCGCAAGAAUGAAACUCAAAUGAAUUGACGGGG